rnacentral:rRNA from 1 species
UAACACAUGCAAGUCGAACGGUAACAGGAAACAGCUUGCUGUUUCACUGACGAGUGGCGGACGGGUGAGUAAUGUCUGGGAAACUGCCUGAUGGAGGGGGAUAACUACUGGAAACGGUAGCUAAUACCGCAUAACGUCGCAAGACCAAAGAGGGGGACCCUCGGGCCUCUUGCCAUCGGAUGUGCCCAGAUGGGAUUAGCUUGUUGGUGGGGUAACGGCUCACCAAGGCGACGAUCCCUAGCUGGUCUGAGAGGAUGACCAGCCACACUGGAACUGAGACACGGUCCAGACUCCUACGGGAGGCAGCAGUGGGGAAUAUUGCACAAUGGGCGCAAGCCUGAUGCAGCCAUGCCGCGUGUAUGAAGAAGGCCUUCGGGUUGUAAAGUACUUUCAGCGGGGAGGAAGGGAGUAAAGUUAAUACCUUUGCUCAUUGACGUUACCCGCAGAAGAAGCACCGGCUAACUCCGUGCCAGCAGCCGCGGUAAUACGGAGGGUGCAAGCGUUAAUCGGAAUUACUGGGCGUAAAGCGCACGCAGGCGGUUUGUUAAGUCA